rnacentral:rRNA from 1 species
AGCUUGCUCCUUUGACGUUAGCGGCGGACGGGUGAGUAACACGUGGGUAACCUACCUAUAAGACUGGGAUAACUUCGGGAAACCGGAGCUAAUACCGGAUAACAUUUGGAACCGCAUGGUUCUAAAGUGAAAGAUGGUUUUGCUAUCACUUAUAGAUGGACCCGCGCCGUAUUAGCUAGUUGGUAAGGUAACGGCUUACCAAGGCGACGAUACGUAGCCGA